CACGGCGAGUGAAGCGGGAUGAGCUCAAAUUUAAAAUCUGGCAGUCUAAGAUUGUCCGAGUUGUAGUCUAGAGAAGCGUUUUCCGCGUAGGCCUGUGUACAAGUCCCUUGGAAUAGGGCGUCAUAGAGGGUGAGAAUCCCGUCCUUGACACAGAUCAUCUAUGCUCUGCGAUGCGCUCUCGAAGAGUCGAGUUGUUUGGGAAUGCAGCUCAAAAUGGGUGGUAAAUUCCAUCUAAAGCUAAAUAUUGGCGAGAGACCGAUAGCGAACAAGUACCGUGAGGGAAAGAUGAAAAGCACUUUGGAAAGAGAGUUAAACAGUACGUGAAAUUGUUGAAAGGGAAACGAUUGAAGUCAGUCAUGUGGUUUGAGGUUCAGCCGGUUUCUGCCGGUGUAUUCCUCAGACUACAGGCCAGCAUCAGUUUCGACCGGUGGAAAAAGUUUGGAGGGAACGUGGCAUCCUCGGAUGUGUUAUAGCCCUCUUUCACAUGCAUCGGACGGGACUGAGGAACGCAGCGUUGCCUUUAUGGUCGGGUCUUCGGACACGGAACGCGCUUAGGAUGCUGGCAUAUGGCUUUAAACGACCCGUCUU
rnacentral:rRNA from 1 species